GACGAACGCUGGCGGCGUGCCUAAUACAUGCAAGUCGAACGCACUCUCGUUUAGAUUGAAGGAGCUUGCUCCUGAUUGAUAAACAUUUGAGUGAGUGGCGGACGGGUGAGUAACACGUGGGUAACCUGCCCUAAAGUGGGGGAUAACAUUUGGAAACAGAUGCUAAUACCGCAUAAAACCUAACACCGCAUGGUGUAGGGUUGAAAGAUGGUUUCGGCUAUCACUUUAAGAUGGACCCGCGGUGCAUAGUUAGUUGGUGAGGUAAAGGCUCACCAAGACCGUGAUGCAUAGCCGACCUGAGAGGGUAAUCGGCCACACUGGGACUGAGACACGGCCCAGACUCCUACGGGAGGCAGCAGUAGGGAAUCUUCCACAAUGGACGAAAGUACUGAUGGAGCAACG
rnacentral:rRNA from 1 species